CUCAGUUCUUCCAAGCAAACCCGAUAUAAUUCAGAAACUAAACAGAACCUCUCCUCUCAACAAAACCGAAGCCAACACCUCCCCUUUCGACAUUACUCACCAAACACAGACCUCUACACUCUCUCAAACGCAGAUCCAACUAUUUCACAGAAAGCUUGCAAGGGCUACACUCUCUUAAACGCAGAUCCAACUAUUUCACAGAAAGCUUGCAAGGGCACGAUGAUGGGAGCCAACGUUUUCAAUCACCGACCCGAUCCCCAUAUCAGACCAUUCUCUCUCCAUAUCUCUGUAUUAAUCUAUGAAUAAUCUCUUUUCCUAUUGUCUUUAAUUAGGUUUCUCUGUCAAUUUAAAGAUUUCGUUUUUAAUUAGGUUUUUCUGUCAAUUUAGGGAUUUCAAUUCCUAACCCCCUUUUCUCUCUAUUCUUUUUUAGCACAUCUAAUUUAGCUUAGCACAGGUUAGUGGAACAUGUAAAUUUGAAUUUAGGUACGAACCAUUUUUGUGGCUUGGAGGGGUUAUAAAAUCCCCUGUUAACUCUUUGAUUAGCUGGGAAAUAGAUUUAUUAUUAUCCUUAGGGUUUAUAAAAUCAGUCAUUCCAAAAGCUAUUCCCUUUGUUUUUUUUUUUUUUUUUUUUUCCUCUCAUUUGUAUCACUGCCAAUUAUCUUUGCUGGCCCUUGCACUCUCGCCCCCUGUAUGACUUGCAAUUUUCAAUGAUAUACGUCUUAACACAACUGCAGAUGUUGAUUGAAUUAAUAAAUAUGGUUUUAUGUCUAUGGAAGCUUCAGAAUGAUGAGGAAGGCUACUUUGCAAUCAAUGAUAUACGUCUUAACACAACUGCAGAUGUUGAUUGAAUUAAUAAAUAUGGUUUUAUGUCUAUGGAAGCUUCAGAAUGAUGAGGAAGGCUACUUUGCAAUCAAUGAUAUACGUCUUAACACAACUGCAGAUGUCGAUUGAAUUAAUAAAUAUGGUUUUAUGUCUAUGGAAGCUUGAGAAUGAUGAGGAAGGCUACUUUGCAAUCAAUGAUAUACGUCUUAACACAACUGCAGAUGUCGAUUGAAUUAAUAAAUAUGGUUUUAUGUCUAUGGAAGCUUGAGAAUGAUGAGGAAGGCUACUUUGCAAUCAAUGAUAUACGUCUUAACACAACUGCAGGUUUAAUAAGUGGACAUAUAUACUCUAUGCUUACUCAAAUUUGCAUAUGCAUCGUAUAAAAAAGCUUAUGAAUUUUAAGGAGAAAGAUGGCUUUUCAUUUUGACCGGUGAUGAACUGGACUAAUUAUACUACACACCAGUGGCAUGGAAUCUUUAAGUUAAGGUGAAAAGGGUUGCAUUGGUGAGCUUCUUUUGUAUUUCUCUUGCCUUUCAAAGGGCACGAGACUGAGGAUGUAUACUUUUAUAAUGCCUGGUCUACAUGAGAUGGAGUUUCUACUAAUGAACAAUUAGAUGCUUGCAGUGCACACAAGACUAAGACAGGGCUGAUGAAUAACAUUAUAUGUAAUAACAUUAUAACCUUAGUUCACCAAGUUCAAGGUCCUCAAUGUUUUUCUUUUAAUAUGUUUUAUUUAUU